rnacentral:misc_RNA from 1 species
UUUCCGUAGGUGAACCUGUGGAAGGAUCAUUCAUAAUAAGUGUUUUAUGGCACUUUUUUAAAUCCAUAUCCACCUUGUGUGCAAUGUCAGGGUUGAUUUUUCUCUCGAGAGGAUCAACCCCAAACAUCAUCUAUAUCUCAACUCUUUGUCUGAAAAAUAUUAUGAAUAAAACAAUUCAAAAUACAACUUUCAACAACGGAUCUCUUGGCUCUC